rnacentral:rRNA from 1 species
UACAGAGGUUGCGAGCGUUAAUCGGAAUUACUGGGCGUAAAGCGCGCGUAGGCGGCUUUGCAAGUCGGGUGUGAAAUCCCCAGGCUUAACCUGGGAACUGCAUCCGAGACUGCAUUGCUAGAGUAUGGGAGAGGGAAGUGGAAUUUCCGGUGUAGCGGUGAAAUGCGUAGAUAUCGGAAGGAACAUCAGUGGCGAAAGCGACUUCCUGGACCAAUACUGACGCUCAUGUGCGAAAGCGUGGGGAGCAAACAGG